rnacentral:rRNA from 1 species
GCGCAAGCUUAAAACCCAAAGGAUUUGACGGUGUCCCACCCACCUAGAGGAGCCUGUUCUAUAAUCGAUAAUCCUCGAUAUACCUCACCAUUUUUUGCCUUUCAGCCUGUAUACCUCCGUCGCAAGCUUACCAUUUGAAUGCCUUAAAGUAAGCCCAAUUGGACCCAGUACGCCAACACGUCAGGUCAAGGUGCAGCCCAUAAAAUGGAAAGAAAUGGGCUACAAUUUCUAAUAUAGAACAAACGAAAAACUACAUGAAACAUAGUCAUGAAGGCGGAUUUAGUAGUAAAAGAAGAACAGCAAGCUUCUUUUAACAAGGCUCUGGGACGUGUACAAACCGCCCGUCACCCUCUUCAACAGCACUCUCUCAGCUUAAUAACACACAUUUCGCACCUUAGAAGAGGCAAGUCGUAACAUGGUAAGUGUACUGGAAAGUGCACCUUGGUAAACAAAGUAUAGGCUUAACUAAAGCCUUCCGCUUACACCGAAAAAACAUCUGUGAAACCCCAGAUUACUUUGACUACUAUAAACCUAGCCUAUUAUAAUCCUUAUUUUUCACCAUCACUAAUAAAAAUAUAAAAAAACCAUUUUUAAUUACUUAGUAG